rnacentral:misc_RNA from 1 species
GAUGAAGAACGCAGCGAAAUGCGAUAAGUAAUGUGAAUUGCAGAAUCCAGUGAAUCAUCGAAUCUUUGAACGCACAUUGCGCCCGCCAGCAUUCUGGCGGGCAUGCCUGUUCGAGCGUCAUUUCAACCCUCGAGCCCCCCCGGGGGCCUCGGUGUUGGGGGACGGCACACCAGCCGCCCCCGAAAUGCAGUGGCGACCCCGCCGCAGCCUCCCCUGCGUAGUAGCACACACCUCGCACCGGAGCGCGGAGGCGGUCACGCCGUAAAACGCCCAACUUUCUUAGAGUUGACCUCGGAUCAGGUAGGAAUACCCGCUGAACUUAAGCAUAUCAAUAAGCGGAGGA